rnacentral:lncRNA from 1 species
GACUCCCCUGGCAUCAACAGCACAAUUCUAAACCCAAAAACAUAAAAAAAUGGCAGCAAGUGUAGCAACAAUGGCGAUGCUCAAUGCAAAAUGCCUAAGCAUCAGCUCAACUAAGAUGAGCAGCCCAACAAAGCCAACCCCAAAGCCCUUCUCCCUUCUCUCCAUGCAGAACCUCCCCAAAGGCCUCACCAUCUCAAAACCAGCCAACAACUCAAACCUACCUUCUUCACUCGCUGGCAGCGCCAUUGCUGGAGCUAUCUUCUCAACCUUAAGUUCAUGUGACCCCGCCUUAGCUGCACAACAGAUUGCUGAAAUAGCUGAAGGAGACAACCGUGGGCUAGCUCUAUUGCUUCCCAUAAUCCCAGCGAUCGCUUGGGUCCUCUUCAACAUCCUCCAGC